rnacentral:rRNA from 1 species
CCUACGGGUGGCAGCAGUGGGGAAUAUUGGACAAUGGGGGGAACCCUGAUCCAGCCAUGCCGCGUGUGUGAAGAAGGCCCUCGGGUUGUAAAGCACUUUCAGUGAGGAAGAACGCCUGGUGGUUAAUACCCAUCAGGAAAGACAUCACUCACAGAAGAAGCACCGGCUAACUCCGUGCCAGCAGCCGCGGUAAUACGGAGGGUGCGAGCGUUUAUCGGAAUUACUGGGCGUAAAGCGCGCGUAGGUGGCUUGAUAAGCCGGUUGUGAAAGCCCCGGGCUCAACCUGGGAACGGCAUCCGGAACUGUCAAGCUAGAGUGCAGGAGAGGAAGGUAGAAUUCCCGGUGUAGCGGUGAAAUGCGUAGAGAUCGGGAGGAAUACCAGUGGCGAAGGCGGCCUUCUGGACUGACACUGACACUGAGGUGCGAAAGCGUGGGUAGCAAACAGGAUUAGAUACCCUGGUAGUC